GGUGGGAUUUGGGAGGAACCAACUCCACAGAGGUGCACAAUUAGAGUUUCCCUUGGUAUCUGCGGGGCCAUUGGUUCCAGGACCCCACCCCCAGUGCAUGCCAAAAUCCUCAGAUGCUCAAGUCCCUUACGCAAGAGGGCGGAGCAUAAAUAAUCCAGUUAGCAUUCGUAUCCAUAUCCUUGAAUUUCGCAUCUGCGGAUUCAACCAGCUGCAGAUCAUGGGUCGAAUCACCAGUCUCUUGGUAGAAUCUGCGGAUGAGAAACCCAGGGAUAAGGAGGGCGGUGAAUUUAGUUUGAAGUAAGAGCCACUGCUGAACGUAGGAGAGCUUGGACUUUUGAAAAGCAGAGUGUGGAAUUCUUCAUUCUUGGCCUUCCAUUUGAAGCUGGAGCCAUUUUCAAGGAGGCAGCCUGAGAGAGCAAGGCGUUGAGACCAUUUCGACUGUGGACAUGACUGAACCCAGGGAAAACCAUUUUUUGAAUGCCUACAAUGGAAAUGUGCUGACCUCUGAUAACCGAGUGUACAAGAUGUGUUCUUUGGGGCACAAUUCAGAUAUUGCAACUUCUGUAUGUGCAGAAACUUUGUUUUGUCCUCGACCAUAUCUCCAGCACAUGGAACCAUGAUAGCUCACAGAAGGCUCUUGACAAAUAUGCAUUGACUGAAUGGAUGAAUUAUACAUUGACCUCAAAAGAUGGGUUAUUGCCAUUUCUUCAGUUAUUUUGAUAAUUCCUAUUGAUGGCUUAUACUCUGAAUUUGAAGAAGUCUGCUUUCAUUAAGCAUAAUACAUUAAACACAAUAAGAGCAUUUUUUGUGCUGUUUUCAGAAAUAAUCAUGUAGUGUAUAUUUAAUAGGAAAAAAGUGAGAAAAACAAUGUUACUAUUAACUCAAUUCUUGCAUAAAAGAAUAUCAUUUUAGGCAGAUAAAACAAUGUACUCAUCAAACCUGUUUAAUGAUCUAGUCAGUCAUAAUCACUUGGGUAGAAAUUGCCAGGACCAAUUAUUUUUUCAAGUCUUUAUUUUGUACCUCUUAUGUGUGUAGCACAGAGCCAGAUGUUUGGGGAGACAGGAAAUUAUUUUAUUUACAGAGCCUUUGUUUAUUCUUUCAGAGCAGCACAGUCUCAUCUAUGUCCCAUAUACUACAUGCUCAGUGUGAUGGCUUUUUGAUGUUAAUUUGUCUUGACUGAACUUGCAUCCCCAGAAUUCUCUAUCUCAUUAUGUGUCUAAUUGGGCCAGGUUAUGAAAGAUACCCUUUCAUGAGAAUAGGAGAGUAGUGGUCAUUUUGUCGCAUAUGCAUAACUUCUACUCAUUAAAACCCUAAGCUAGGUUCUGCCAUGAAGGGAUUUUGCAGAUGUAAUUAUGGUCCCUACUCAUUAGACUUUUAAUUAAUAAAAAGGUAGUAUACCUGGGACCUAACUGCAUCUGAGUAGAAGCCUUUAAAAGAGGACUUAGGAUUUCCCUAAAGCCAGGACUCCAUACAACGUCUGACUCUGUAAUUGCUCUUCUUUCCUUCUGGAUCUUCCUUCCUGACCACCACCUGUGAACAGAGAACUUUAACUUGUGCCUAUGGGGUUUUAGCCUGUGUGUCAUCUCCCCUUCCUAACUGCUUGGCCCGUGCACUUUGGAUUUGAUUAGCCAGCUCCCACAGUUGUACUAUGCAGUCCUUUGUAAUAAAAUUAAAAAAAAAAAAUCUCAUAGGAGAACUGGUCCAUUGAGAUGAAGGCAUAGACAAUAGUUCAGCAUCAUCUUUAGUUACAAUCUAAAAUGUGUGAUGAUGACAGUAAGCAUUGUAGGAUGUAAGGAUUGUGGGAGGUCAGGGUGGCCAAAAGUUAGUGAUAAAAUUUAAAAGGAAAGAAAAAAGAGAGAGAAAGCAUUGUGUUUAGUGUUUAGCAGAGUUACUGAGAUUAAAUCAACCUGUGAAUCCAGGGGAUAGUAAACUGAUUUCACUUUCAACCAGCAGCCUACUUAACUUUCACCUUAGUUGUCCUUCUACAAGCAGCUAGAAAGUCUAAUAAUGUGUUUAAGUUAUUGUGAAUUAUUACCAAGAAAAUGUCAAGUAUUCAACCUUAACAAUCUUUAGUUAAAAUAGUAAUGUUCAUUUUUACUGUAACUUUUCAGAGUAGAGUCAAGAAUCCUGGGUAAAAUAGGGUCUUUUGAAAAGAAAAAAAUAAAAGCUCAGGAGAAAAGCAAAAAAAAAAAACAAAGAUUUUCCUCCCUGCCCCUUCAAAAUAAUCUUUGGCUGUGACAGCCCUUCAGAGUGGCUAGGUCAUGAGUUUUGAAGAAUGUGCCAGCACACAUUUAUUGAAAGGGUCAGGAGAGUCAAAGAUGGCAGCUUCUAUGGGGUUUGUGUAUGUGCAUGUGGGGAGGGUGGUUAUGGUGAAAGAGCAGCUGCUAAUAUUUGAGGAAAGGUCACCACAGAAGACAAGAGUUUAUUCUGAUAGAAACCUAGAGGCAUUGGGGUCGCUGUCUAGUUCAAGAAAGAUUACCUUUGUUUUAUUGCUAACACAUUGGAAGAAUCACUUUGAGCAUAUAUUCUUGCUGUAAAUAUAUUUUUCAUUCUUGUUUGUGAGCAAGAAACAAUUCUUUGGGGUGGAAAUGGAGAAAAGCCUCCAAAUUUUUUAUUGUCUUAAUUUUAGGAAGCAAGCACCAUGCUGGCAGUUGUGGGAUAAAUAACAACAUAUUUAACAUAAUAAAUACUAUACAUACGGCAUUUUGUAGCUUAUGAAACUCUGGCAUAUAUGUGACAUAAUUUCCUUCUAGGGUCAGUAGAACCUCUUAGCAAUUCACAGUAAUUCUGAUGCAGGCUUGGACUGUCUUUUACAUAUGCAUAGUUUAAGGCUUUCAUUUCUCUGAUUAGAAUGCCUUUUCUUGGAAUGGUUUACCAAAUAUUAACCCCCUGAAAUACUUCUACAUCAAUUCAUAAGUAGUUUCAUUUCCUAACGUGCUGAGUAUUCGCCAUCUCCAAUGGCCACAAAUUAUCCACCUGGGGCCCUUGACUUUCACCAUCCAUCAGCCAAAGGGUUACUAUCUAGCCCAGCCCAGCAGGGAGCUACCCAAGACCUAGCUCUAAGCUUUCCUGGUUUCUCCUCUGAUUGGCUGUUGCCUAGGCCAUGCUGAUUGUUAAGUGUCUUUAAUCAAACUCCCUAGUUACUAAUUUUCAUCUAUUUUCCAUCUUUCAAAACUGUUGAAAUCUGUCAUCUCAGAUGUUUUUCUUUCUAGUUUCUUUUGUUUUGGGGCUUAUGCCUUAAAGGCCCAAUGCUGUGAUUUCAGUGAAGUGUCAGGAGGAGAAGAGUUAAACACAUUAGUCAGUAUGCUUCAUUUAACCAUAGUUUGAUUAAUAAUCUAGAAGGAUGCUGAAAACAUCUGUUGGAAUAGGAUUUAUAUAAAAGCUCACUGUGGAACCUUGCUAAUAUGUGCUACAUGAAAAGAAAAUGAACUCUUUGAUCCAAUAAAUGUGGAAAUGUUGGGUUAAGUAAAGUCAAACAUCCUUUUCCUCCUCAGCUUUUUGGUACCUUUUCUAUGCUAUUCUUCAGUUAAUUUCCAAGUCAGAGUUAAAAUAUGCUGCAUUCUCACACUUUUUUUCUCCUCAGAAUCCUCUUCCCUUUUAAAUGGAACACAGAUGUCCUUGUAGGGUAAUAACUCUUAUCCUCUUUAUUUUAGAAAGUGAUACCUAAUUUGGGGGGACUUGUGCUAUAUCCUCUGCAGUCUAUUGGGCAUCUAACACUCCUGUCUAAAGCCUCAUGUGAAUUUCAGCAAAGAAGCUAGGAACUAUAUUUCAGAACUCCCUUCCCUGAGCUGUCCCAGAUUUGAGCUUUCCCAUGAAAGGACAUACUCUUUUAGGACAUGGUGCAACCAGAUGUACAGUCAGACCUGAGCUCUUAAGAAACACAAACUAAGUGGAUUCACUCAAAGUCAGUUCAUAGGACAUUCUCAGAGAUACUAGAGAUCUUCAGGCAAAACCUUUAAUCAGUAGCUUAAGUGCUUUGGGCUGAGACAACCUCUUUAACUUCUUGAGGCAACUUCCCUAAUUUUUGGUGAAAGCUUCCUUGAUCUCUGUUCUCCUAUUUCUUCUAGGAAAAAU